UCUGUGUCAUGUUGGUCUCUUGCGGAGAGUUGUCUUAUUGGCAAUCAUACCACAUCUUUUUUAAAUUGUCAAUUCUAUAUUCUCUGAUUAUUUGUUCAGACCCAAAACAAUCUAUAUGUAAGAUUAAAUAUAUCCUUUCCUAUGACACACCACCAUUGUAUACAUAUAUCUUGGACAGCUUAAGUAGCAACUUUUUGAUUUUCU
rnacentral:lncRNA from 1 species